rnacentral:lncRNA from 1 species
GCAAACUAUGUCAGCUUGGCUGUACUGGGCUACAUUUCCCAGAGUACCCUUCCCUGUAUAUCUCCACUUAGGGUGGGCCAAGAGAGAUUCUUGCAGGCGAUUUAGUGGGUGGAAGUAAAGCAACAACUAUUUUAUAUCUUGCACAUAUUUUUGUCAGUCUGGUUAAAUUAUUGAUGUGAGGCAUGAGGUGGACCUACAACUAGUGCACCUUCCCUUUGAUAUUUCUUCAGCUUUUCUGACUCUGCGGCCAGGUGUUUGUAUUUAACUCCACGGUGAGGAGACUCAUCUUCUGACGGACCUAACCUAUACCAUCAAGCUCCAGCACCACAAGCAAAGACAAAAACCUUGCGGAAACUAUUUAACUAACUCCCACAAUUGCAUAAGAAGAGUCAUGAUCCUAAGAACAGAAGGGAGAUCCCUGUUGCUUUGACUUCUUGCUGUCCUCCUGCUAUUUGGCUCAAAAUGCAAACUCAGUUAUGAGAAGUACAUAGAAGAACAGGUAAACUAAAGCCUGGGCUUUUUCACCAGAGGAUGUGGAAAAGAGGCUUCAGGAAAUUGAGAAGUAUUAUGGAGAUUGCAAAAAUGAGGGAGCUGAAGAAAGAGUUAGAAUGACAGUGAAUGUGAGAAGAGAGAGAGAUGAAUACCACGAAGUUGCGUAUGUACUGCUGGACUAUACCCUGAACUGAGCAUGUAAACAUCUGACCACAGAUGGUAUAAUAAGGCUUUGAAAACUAAGCUACAAUAAAGACCAUCACCCAGGCCAAAAAUUGCUACUUGGAAAUGCACACACAGACUGAUCCAAAUAGCAUUGAAAACACUUAAAGAAAUGGUGCAGACAUUGGAGUCACAAUCCAAAGAAGGCAGAUCAGAGUUUGUUCCAUAAGCCUGAAUAGGUUGAUUGCUUAAUAUAAGAAGAAAAUCAACCUUUUUCUUAUGAUUUAAGACAUAAUCAGAGUCUCAUAACAUAUUCUCAAAAUGCCCAGGAUAUAAUUUAAAAUUAUUUGGCAUAUGAGAAACCAGUGUGAUCGUCUCUUAACUCUUAAAGAAAAAGACAAUUAAAAAUAUCACAAUCAAAAUGACAGGAAUGUUGUAUUUAUCAGAUAAAGACAUUAAAGAGAUAUUAUAACCAUGCUCUAACAGGCAAAUGAAAAGACUCAUAAUGAAUAGAAAAAUAGAAGGUCUCAGCAAAGAGAAAGAAUAUAUGAAGAUGAAAAAUGGAAAUUUUAGAACUGGACAAUGUGACAGUCCAAAGAGAAAAUUCACUGGAUGGACUAAAUAGGAUAAUGGAGAUAACAGAGGAAAAGAGGCAGAUGACUUGAAUACCGAUCAUGAGAAAUUAACUAUUUCAAAGAAGAGAGUAAAAAGAGACUUAAAAAUAAAAUGAACAGAGCCUCUGAGUCCUGUGAAACAAUGUCAAAAAGCCUAAUAUUGGUGUCAUCUGAACCACAGAAGGAGGAAGAAAGUAUGAGAAAAAAUAUCUAAAGAAAAAUAGCCAGAAACUUCCUUAAUUUGGCGAAAGAUAAAAUCUUAAAGAUGCCUGAGGAGGCUCAGGAAACUCUAAGGAGAAGAAGCUACAAAAAAUCUACACUCUAAAACUUCUGAAAUUAAAAAACAAAGAAAAAAUUUUUGAAUGCACCCAGAAACUCAAUACAAAUGGAGAAUUCUGAUUUGAAUACUGUAUAUUUUAUAUAAGGAAACAUGGUAGUUAAGGGGAAGUGGAACAACAUUUUUUAAGUGAUGCAAAAAAUGAUUCUAUAUUCAGAAAUCUUUAUCCAGUAAAAAUAUUCUUGAUAAAUGAAAAUCAAAUAAAGAUAUUCCUGAUGAAACUAAACUAAGAGCAUUUGCUGUCAGUAAGAAACCUGUAACACCAGGAAUAAAGGAAGAGUAACAGAUUUGGUAAAAUAUAAGAGACUAUUCUUCUCUCCUUCAGUUCUUUAAAAUAUGCACAAUGAUUAAAAACAUAAAUUAUAACAAAAUAUACAACAUAAAAGGAGAAUAAAUGUACCUAUAUUUUGAUGAUUUUCUGCUUACCCUUUAAAGUGAUAAAAUAUUGACUCUAAAUAGAAUGUAAAAAAGUAAGUAUAUGUGUCAUAAUCCCUACAGGGAAACGACCAAAAAUACUAUACAAAGUGAUAUCUUCAAAAACUCAAUGAUAAAUUAAAAUAGAAUACUGAAAAAGAAAAAAAAAAGCAUUUACCUAAUCCCAAAGAAGGCAGCAAAGGGGAGACAAAAAAAUGAAAAAGAAAAAUUAGAAAACCAGCAGUAAAAUGGUAGAUCUAAAUUUAAACAUGCUGAUAAUUCUAUUAAAUUUGAAUGUUUUAAACUCAUCACUUGAAAUACAGAGAUUGUCAAGAUAUCUUUAAUUUUUUAAGAAAACAACCCAUAUCUAUCUACAACAACCCUAGUUUAUAUAUAAUUAGAGUAAAAGUAAAUGGAUGGCAAAAAUGGUAUACAACAACUAAUCAAAAGAAAACUGUAGUAGCUAUAUGUUAACAUCAGACAAAGUAGACUUCAGAACAAGAAAUAUUACCUGUGAUAUAAGAUGGAUAUUAUAUAAUAAUAAAAAUCUUCAAUUCACCAAG